ACCUGGCUGGCUCAGUCGGUUGAGCAUCUGACUUUGGCUCGGGUCAUGAGCUCAUGGUUCGUGGGUUCAAGCCCCGCGUCGGGCU
rfam:Felis catus isolate Cinnamon breed Abyssinian chromosome E2, whole genome shotgun sequence.